AUGGCGGGCGUACUGAAGAAGACGACUGGCUUGGUGGGAUUGGCGGUGUGCAACAUUCCACACGAGAGGCUAACAAUAUUGUAUACCAAGAUUCUUGAUCUUCUGAAGCACUUUCCUAAACAUGCAGCCUAUAGAAAAUACACAGAGCAGAUCACCAAUGAGAAGCUGGAUAUGGUCAAAGCGGAACCAGAUGUUAAAAAAUUAGAAAAUUUGCUUCAGGGUGGUGAAGUAGAAGAGGUGAUUCUUCAGGCUGAAAAAGAACUAAGUCUGGCAAGAAAAAUGUUGCAGUGGAAGCCAUGGGAGCCGCUGGUGGAAGAGCCGCCGGCUGACCAGUGGAAGUGGCCAAUAUGAUCAGUGUCUGAUGAUGGAUGUGAAUUAAAUGUGCAAUUAAAUAUUCCGUGAUGGAAAAA